CAAUAGCGUAUAUUAAAGUUGUUGCGGUUACAAAGCUCGUAGUUGGAUUUCUGCCGAGGACGACCAGUCCGCCCUCUGGGUGAGUAUCUGGCUUGGCCUUGGCAUCUUCUUGGAGAACGUAGCUGCACUUGACUGUGUGGUGCGGUAUACCGGGACUUUUACCUAGAGGAAAUUAGAGUGUUUCAAGCAGGCAUACGCCUUGAAUACAUGAGCAUGGAAUAAUAAGAUAGGACCUCGGUUCUUUUUUGUUGGUUUCUAGAGCUGAAGUAAUGAUUAAUAGGGAUAGUUGGGAGCAUUCGUAUUAACUGUCAGGGGUGAAAUUAUUGGAUUUGUUAAAGAUGGACUACUGCGAAAGCUAUUUGCCAAGGAUGUUUUACAUUGAUCAAGAACGAAAGUUAGGGAUCGAAGAUGAUCAGAUACC
rnacentral:rRNA from 1 species